GAUGAACGCUGGCGGCGUGCCUAACACAUGCAAGUCGAACGGAGAUUACGGACGGAAGUUUUCGGAUGGAAGCCUGUGAUUCUUAGUGGCGGACGGGUGAGUAACGCGUGGGCAACCUGCCCUAUACAGGGGGAUAGCAGCUGGAAACGGCUGGUAAGACCGCAUAAGUCGGUUAAAUCGCAUGAUUUGAUCGGGAAAUGAGCAAUCAGGUAUAGGAUGGGCCCGCGUCCGAUUAGCCAGUUGGCAGGGUAAAAGCCUACCAAAGCGACGAUCGGUAGCCGGACUGAGAGGUCGGACGGCCACAUUGGGACUGAGACACGGCCCAAACUCCUACGGGAUGCAGCAGUGGGGGAUAUUGCACAAUGGAGGAAACUCUGAUGCAGCGACGCCGCGUGAGUGAAGAAGUAUUUCGGUAUGUAAAGCUCUAUCAGCAGGGAAGAUGAUGACGGUACCUGACUAAGAAGCCCCGGCUAACUACGUG
rnacentral:rRNA from 1 species